rnacentral:rRNA from 1 species
UACGUAGGGGGCAAGCGUUGUCCGGAAUUAUUGGGCGUAAAGCGCACGCAGGCGGUUCGCUAAGUUCGAGGUGACAAUCACCGGCUUAACCGGUGAACGAUUUCGAAAACUGGCGGACUGGAGAGCGAGAGAGGGACCUGGAACUCCGGGUGGAGCGGUGAAAUGCGUAGAGAUCCGGAAGAACACCAAUAGCGAAGGCAGUGUCCUGGCUCGUAUCUGACGCUGAGGUGCGAAAGCUAGGGGAGCGAACGGG